GCAGUAUACUGCCAAAGGCAGGACUCGCAACAGAAGUAGAUUGGCAGUCAUGGAGCUAGCUGCCGGUGAUAUAUGCGCGUCGGAGCGACCGGGUAGCACUAGAACAGCUGAUCCGCCCCAGCGUGCGAGACAAGCCCGGGCUGGGUCGCGACUUCGCUUCUCGAGGCUAGGGUGGGGUGCGCCCGGCGGCGGCGGCUGAGCAGCGGCCGCCAUAACGGGCCGGUGGAUGGGGCUUCGCGGGGGGGGGAGGAGCAGCGGCAGGGCGUCGCCACCGGAGCUAAAGGAGGGUUUUGGCAACAGCACCCUCGAAUUCGACUCCGCCUUUGGGAUCGGCGCAGCUACCGCCCCCUCGACCCCGUCGUCUGCCACCUCGACCCCAGGCACCACGCCGCCCGCCGCCUCCUCAGCAUGGACCGCGACGCCCUCGAGCACCUCUUCAGCGUCCGGCUCAGGCUGACCUUCCCGCGUAUACCGCCCGCCGUCGCCAGCCUGAGGCUCUUCUUCUAACUGGAGGAGUUUAAGUAGCGGGCGUGGGCGGUCGCGUACGAGGCGGAGGUACACGAGCGGUUCACCACAGUCGUCCAAGGCAACCAAGUCAUGACAGUCGUUGAACCUAGUUGGGAAAGAUCGGUACUUUGUACGAAGUGGGUUUGUCGGCUGAGUGACAAGAAGUACGUACUCCCCAACGUCGUUCGUUCUCGAGGAUGUAAACUACAAGGAAGACGAAAUCUCCAAUACGAAUGUCCGUCAAUAGUCUCCAAUGGUUCUACAUAUCUUCUAUAUCCCUCGGUUUUAUUUGAAAGAGGUCUACUUCUUUUUGUACGAAACGUCUUCAACCUGUGGUCACACGCGAUGUUUCAUGAACACUGAGGUUCUGGGUUUCUUCAUAGAUCGUAAAGUCAUUGACUACCCUAUCGACAAAAAGCACACCUACCUCUUAAAUUUCAAGAAGAAUGCAAUCCAAUGGCACCAUUGGAUCUAAAUACCUCCUAUGACGUGUACCUCAACGAACAACCACUCUUCUUACCGGGAUAAUUCGACCCUCUUUAAUCCUCUAAACGAGAACCACUACUAUAUCUUUCUUCUUACCGUCAAAGACUCUUAGGGAAAAGACACGACAUACGAUAUGAAGUGCUCAAAUCGUAAAGUGAACGAUACCUGUGAUAGUAAUCCGUCCGAUUACAAGAAGCUGUGCCUUCCACCUUCCUUCGUUAUUCAAGACUUGCAUAGAGUCUGUCGUGUCGUCCAGUUUGACCUUUACGACGACAUUACGUCGAACCAGUUCUACCCCUUAAACUAAGUUCACCAAAAUCCAAUGGACACAACUUUAACUUAAUGACCAACCUACCUUUUUUGUCACCGGGUCGUCUUAGACUAAAUAGGGGUAAAUAGUUUUAACUCCGUCCCGUUCUGUACGUCUAUUUUACGGUCGUAUCAAGUAAAUAUGAACUAGGAAACUGUCUAUUUCUUCGAUUAGAAAGAGAACUAGACAGGACGUAACUACAACUCUUUGAGUAAAAUUUUCGUUAACGAACGUUAUCCGUGUGUGCAGAAGAACUGUAAGUCUCUGUUAACACGUUUUUACACGUUUAAAGAGUCAGUGGGUUUCUACAAUAGGACUUCGCCCUGUAACCGCAUCGUUUCCGUGGUGUAUUCUUCUGUCUCUUUCGCUCGAAACGUCUAAAAACACCUUUACUUCACGAAGUCCACGCUCGUAUACCAGUUCGUAUAUAACCAGAACCUCAUUUAUAGUCCUCACCAGCAAAGUAGGAUGUUAGUGGUUUCUUAUAGAAUGGAGGAAGGCGAGACGACCUAACCCUUCUUCGAGAUUUGUUUCCGUCAUUGUGUCGCUGACUCCAAAAGAGUUUGAAUUCCUGAUCCUCGUAGGAGGUAGACGAACAUAGAUGACCUUCAAAAAAACCGGAGUUCCAAAUACUCGUCAGAGUCCCAUGAGAUUUCUAAGGUCUCCGGUAUAAUGUACCAAGUCUAGACUACCAAUACCCUAAAGGCGUCACGCGUUUACGGAUAAUAGACAACUACGUUGAACUAUUCCUAAAGUCCGGACAAAAAGUAAACGAACUUUGUGUCAGACUACGUUCGUUAUUCAAAUUACGUUUAUAUCUACGGUUUCUUCGGUACUCCCAUUUGUUCUAACUACAACCCGUCUACCUUUUUUAUUUUGUACUCUUCUUAAGUUUAGGAAAACUACGGUUUGACGUAAGGGAUGUUUCAUAUCUCUUGACACUACUGUACUACCUGUUAGUUGAAGAGUAAGUCUUAUCACAACUAGGAGAAGGCGACGACGGACGAACAAGUGGUAGCAAAAGUAGAUAACAACUACUCUGGAAGCUUACACUUGUACCAAGAUCAAACGGAAGACGAAGAGGACACGCGAGAGAAAGUGAACCGGGAGUUCCGCAUUCGUGGUCUUGAUAAAGUGUCUACGUCCUACCCCGGAACAGAGUACGGGUUCGAUUAUUAUGGAGUUAUCAAGCAGGACCACAGCCACACUUGUCGAUAAAGGGUUGAUCAAACUCGGUAAAUGUCUCAUGUUUGCGGAAAAGCAGGAGAUUAGGACAUUCUUUAAGUAGACGAUAGUUCAACAGUUUGAGAUUUGGAUUAGUACUGGACUCAAGUAACUCGAGAGGUUCACUCGUACCAUAACGUCUACCUUUAUUUGGUAAAGUUGAGCGGGGAAGUUCGUGCAACGGACGAGUAAACCAAGCUAGAAGUGGACGGUAACUUCCUAAUCCCUUCCGGUAGUGGCAUCCUAGACUAACACGUGGAUCUUUCGCGAGAGAAAGUCUAAAGGACGAUCUAGAGGGAAGUGACGUUCCUGACUUUAGGCCACUCGGUUCAUUCGCUUCUUCUUAUAGUCUUAGCCGUGUCUCAAGGGAAGGAAACGUCUGUAUGAGAAGAUCAAGUGUUAGUCCUUGGUCGGAGUGGGUACCUUUAUUAUAAGAACGGCUUUCUUUAUUAACACAAGGUCGUUGACACAUACGAAGUCACGAUGAUGUACAUUAUUCCGUGACAAGCGAUACGUAGUUCGUACGAGUUGAUUGACGGGUCUACAUAAGAUCACGGUAAGGUAUACAGCUUCUUCACCCGUACGCUAGUGGUAGGAGUUUAUAAACCAAGUCCAAUGGCAAACGAGUUCUACUAAGAACCUUUGUGUAUACGAAUGCGGAACCCUUCCGACCUUCGUACAGUACCCUGCAAUCCUAUUUACUAGGUGUAAAGUUCCUUGAAACCCUCGAGUUACCUCCUUCGUGGAGUUGUGGCACCCCACAACCACAUGCGUAUCGAUUGUGUAGACUCUACCUAAGUGUGUAGAGAAAACUGCGCCUACCACAACAAAAUUGAAUAUCGUGACAACUCCGUCUAUCACAAUUCUCCGAACAUAGUCUAAAUGUUGCCGAACGGUUACGUGCACAUAAACGAGCACCUUACUCCUCUAACUAGCCACAUUUUGAACUACUAUUCGAUCUACUGUUGGUAUAUAGACACCCCUACUUUAGUGUCAGACAAUUAUUUCCGGUAUCACUACGACUGUCCGAUAGACUUGUCUACCCUUUCGGUAAGUCCUAACUUCGACAACCGGAUUACUCGAAAACCAAGUCGAUACCGGUAUACGGUUACCAAGUGAAACAACAGCUUACCCUUUGACGAUUCCUUCCAACGUGUUACGUACAAAGAGGACUGGUCGAAACCGGUGUGUGUUUCAAAAACCUCCUAAAGCACUUACCACCACUCCAACGUAGGAAGAACCUAACAUAAGCCGAUUGUCGUCCUGGAAAUGAACGAGAACCCCCACGUUAAGCAGGACGAGCCUACGGACAUUGUCAAAGCUGACCCAUGUCGAGUUACGGUUUCGUUUGAUUAUUACAGGGGAGGGUCCCCGGUGAUCGUUUACCAAGUAGACGUUGUUGAUACGUAGUACGUAGACGGGGUAGUUUACGAUGCCGUGUAAACCCACCAGUAUGAGAAGUAUGACGACGGUACGAGAGGCGACGACCUGCCCCACCCGGACCUGAGCAAGGAUCAAGUAACGACGGAAAACUACAAAGGCAGCACGAAGCCCCGGGUAUGACCUAUGCGUAAUAUAUAGCGUUCUUCAAAAGACAACUGUACGCAACGAAGCGGCCCCUAGUCCAAACCGAUGUCGGGCGUUGGGGAGGAUUCCCACCCGGAAGUCAACCGCCCAGUAACGGUACAGGCGUUAAAUCUGGAAAGUAUUACCUCGUACAACGAGUUCCAGAUUUACGAGAACUUGGACGAAAGUACUUACGAUGUGUCGGACCAGGUGUGAAUUUAUGAUCACGACCUCGAGGUGUUAGACGAGGACAACGUUUGGCAAAUUUACGGUGGGGCCCACAACGAUACAGGUCCGGUUGAAGAUCACAACGGUUGGUACAUCGUCGAUCAAACUCAGCUCGUCCUUUACGGUACAACAGAAGAAGUCCAGAACGAAGUCCCUAACCACCUCGGAGACACGCUGAUUGUGGACCUUGACCGGAAGGACAAGUAUACUUUCCUCUUGAUUUGUGUCGGAAGUAACCCGAACCCCUACUACCACCGAUGCCACCACCAACCCAAGGCAACCGUCGAGAGUUCUUCCACAAUUCUCCCUAAGAAUUCAUGGAACCUCAAGAUACCAACAAACGUGUCAACGGACUUGAAGACUUUCUCUAUAACCCCAGUUAAAACUUCCUGUUGCUUCCCCGAGAAAACUUAAACCUAGUUCUCGUCGGACGUGACGCCAAGAUACACCCUCCAAUACAUAAACGUCAGUCACAGGUAGCCCAAGUUGACGAAGAUGUUCAAGACUCACAAUUCGCCAAAGUGGUGGUCGUUGUCGUUGUCGUUCGAGUCUUGUUACGAGUCCUCCUCGACUGUAGACGGCUCUAGUUGCUCUAUACGCUAAUAAAGUCGUCCGCACAACGGAGACUUGGUAUACUACGAAGUUCUCAACGAAGAAAAUAGUGAAACGAAUGUAAUGGAUAUAGCCACGACUCUCUUUAAAACUUCGACUAAUGAACCUUCUUUCCCAAAAGGGUCCGAGUACCACUGUAACGUUGACGAGUCUCCCGAGCGUAACUCGAAACAAACCUUUUAGUGAGCCCUAGUCGAAGUCUACUAUCUUGUCUUUCGAGAAAUCGAUUCUCGUUAUAAGUAGUACUAUCUCGGGUGUCAAGUCAUCUCAAACGAGAGUGCAAACAUGAACUGGUACGCGAGUAAGGAGUGUACUUGCAUCGACCACCUCGACGGACCGAAGGCAUAACACAUAGGCACUCUGACUCCAUAAGAAAACCUCUGUUGUCGGUAUAUAGCAAGGAACGUUAUUUACCCUCGGUACCACCCUCUCGAACGACCGACGUCAGACUUCUAACCCUCUCUACAUUCGUCUUCCACCGCUCCCGUCACCUCUGACACUUACCCUGGGGACGACAACGUCUUGGACCGGUUCCUUCCGACGCUUACCAACGACUCUACUAUGUUUUCGUUGAGGUUGAAACAGAUGUCGUCGAGUCUCUGCCUGGUGAAAGCCGACCGAGUUGACGAAGUACUCUAUUGUUUAAUCGUUAACUCGGUCCAAUCUAUUUAAAACAACAUUAAGGGACCUCUACCGACACAACUGUAAACCGUAAGCUAUCGUCUUACGACCUCGGGGUUUCUUUUCUUUUCUUUACGUUCGUACAGAUAACCGCCAAGCACGGUCCCUGUCGCCGAGACUCCGCUGUCGAACGACUAAAUAUACCGUUAAAACAUGUCGUUUUCGUACAACACCCCCAAGAACCAGUGUUCGACAGAGACCGCGACAGUCAAACCAUCUGUUCCUACCUAAGCCAAAUCCUCCGCACCACAUGUAAUGUAUACCAUAAGAAUGAACCUGACUGUAAGACAGACGGACAUUUAGAUUCUCUGAAUGGAUUAACACAUACCCUUAAGGGGUCCCUUUCUACCAAACACAAACCUUACAAUGUACAUCGUUUACUUCAACGAACUUGGGGGGAAUACUAAGAAGAAAACGAUCACACCGCAAGUUGUCACGCACAAGUGGCGAUUAUACUGAACCGUGUAUUAAACCAUCUACAUGUUAAUAAGACAUAAUAAUGAACAAACGA
rnacentral:rRNA from 1 species